rnacentral:lncRNA from 1 species
UUAACAUCUGAAAGAACGUAGUUAGUAACAACGUCAUUUCAGCUACUGCAGUUGGCAUUAAAGACCUAUAGGCAUUAAGAACCAUUCUUACAGGACUGACAAAAUGUGAUUUGCCAUUUAUUUUUGCUAGAUUAAACUUGUCUUAACAUGUGAGCCUGUAAGAAGAGCGUUGUUAAAAAAUCAUCUCGUAUACUGCGUAAUAAUAACUAGUACUUUAUCAUCAAAGCCAUGCUAUGUGUUAAUUACCAUGACAAUGAUGUAGUCAUUUCUUUUGCAUGAGAAUAUCGUUUUUUUUUCUUCAAUGUAUGCAUGCAAUUUCGAAUAAUUAACUUUCUCUCCAUUAGUAGAUUCACUGGAAGACUCCUUCUAGAUAAAUUAAAAUCCCUUAUUUAUUGAUUUGUUUUUGUUUACAGAUCAUUAGUCCGUGAAGAAUUAUAUCAAGCGUAGUGUUGUGUCAGUCCUUAUUUAGGACUGAAUACUGGAGUCCCGUCCAGCAGAGUAUCGGUCCCGUUGAGUUCAGUCCUGCAAAUCAGUCUUAAAACCUAUUAUCUUCGGCCAUUUAUGACGUCAGUUAACUUUAUUUCUUCUUUUUUUAAUCAGUUCUAGUUAGUCUUAUGUCCAUACAUGUAAAUCCUGUGUGUUUUUUAACUGGCCCGUUAAUUUGUAAAUGGUACUUUAAAGCAAGCUUAAUAGAAAUAUCUAUUUCAAUUAACCUUGGUAUAAAGAAUGAAUUUUAUUUUCCUUAGCAGUUGUCAUAUUCAUAUUUGGAAUUCGUAUUGUAUAUUUGCAUCUGUGUAUGAAGAAGUAGAAGUUUCUAGAUCUUUUGCUUAUUCCAUCUAAUAUAAUUGAUUAUUCCGAUCCUCUUCUCUCAGUCAACGGAUGGACUCCAAGAGAACUCAAUAAGAGCCAAAUUCACAACUUCUGCAACACACUGAGACCUUCCAUCUACUUUCGUGAUCCUUCGAAGUGCUAAUUAACCGAAUAACUCGGAAAAGUCGAGAUCCCUUUCGUCCGUCAAUGAAUUAUUCGCUUCACUUCACGUCUUCUCUUCCUCAGUCAAUUAUAUUCUUCCCUUCACCUUGCGUCCCUACGCUUGAGGUCAUUAUGGUUCGAGGUUUGAUUUCCUCCUGGAAACAAGUGAUUUGUUAUGAUUACGAUAGAGCGAUCACCAAAGAUUUAUUGUUCAAAAUUAUUUCCGAGUUAGAAAAAAUAGGAAUCAAAAUAUACGCAAUGAUUUCUGACAUGGGAACGAAAAUUAAAGAUAUUGGAAACAGUUGGGGAUAACGGUUGACCUAACUCUGUGGAAUUUAUGGAUCGAUUUCGUAUACCAGUUAUAUCCAAUUCAUCACAAUUUGCUGUUUCAACCGUCGUUGUUAAAUGUCAAUUAGAAACUGCAUCAUAUGACUCCUAUUUUGGAUCAGAUACAAAGUACCCUUGAUGAAAUUUCUCUGGUAGAUGAACCAGAAGAAAAUAACUAUGAUGAAGAGGAUAUUGACAUAGGAAAUGAUAUACAAUUGCUGCUUGAAGAAGGUGAAAUGAUAGCUGAAGACCCUAAUACUUAUGAGUAUGAAAAUUGUAACCAUGAAGAUAUAAGGACAUUGAGGAUAUUUUAGAAGAUGAGGUUAACAAAAUCAAAGAUGAUGAACUACUGGAUCCAUCAAAGGAAUGUGAAAAAGAAGAAUUCACUUAUAUCACUGUUUAUUUUUGGCAAAUAAACUUUAUGAAGAAUUUCCAAGGUUCGGUACAAAGACAAAAUACUUAGAUUCUGAUCAACUCGUACAAGCAAGUCCAUGGAUUGUUUCUAGAUCUCAAGGAGGUCUCAUGCAGCCCUCAGGAUAAUUCUUGGAAUUUUGUAAAGAAAUGGAAAGUUACUUUUUAAAAUUUCAUAAUCCUAGAGUUGACUGUGAUCCUUUUGUAAUAAAAAGACUGACUGACUUAUUGUCUACAAAAUACCCCCACCAAAAUGUCAAAAUCAUUAAGAAAUUUGUCAGAAUAAGAAAAUUUCAUCGUAUAAAGUACUUAAACUUUCUCAAAAAACUAAAGACUGCAAGAUUAAAACAAGAAACACAAGGAAAUUUCCUCAUUACUAACUCAUACUCAUAUAUCAUUAAAUUAACUCUCCUCUCAGCACAUAACUAAAUCUGACAAUUUAUUUAUUGUAUGUAAUUGUCCAUACUAUUAUACCAUUAUAUGUCAACUAUUUUGUUGUAACUCUCAUGUUUUUAAUAAAGUAAUGCACAGUGUUAAACCUA